UUGGUAGACUAGGCAAUCGCCGCUGCACACUGGUAACAGACAUGCAGGGGAGGAAAGUCCGGGCUACAUAGGGCAGCGUGCCAGCUAACGGCUGGGCAGGGUAACUUGACGACCAGUGCAGCAGAGAGUAGACCGCCUUUGGCUUAUAUGAGUAUCGCAAGAUAUUCAUGUCAUCGGUAAGGGUGAAAGGGUGCGGUAAGAGCGCACCGCGUGGCUGGCAACAGUUCACGGCAUGGUAAACUCCACGCGUAGCAAGACCAAAUAGGCAUCGGCAUGGCGCGGCCCGCGUUCGAUGCGGGUAGGUUGCUUGAGCGUACGAGCGAUUGUACGCCUAGAGGAAUGAUUGUCCACGACAGAACCCGGCUUAUCGGUUUACCAAACCU
rnacentral:RNase_P_RNA from 1 species